CCUACGGGAGGCAGCAGUGGGGAAUAUUGCACAAUGGGCGCAAGCCUGAUGCAGCAACGCCGCGUGAGGGACGAAGGCCUUCGGGUUGUAAACCUCUUUUAGCAGGGAAGAAGCGAAAGUGACGGUACCUGCAGAAAAAGCACCGGCUAACUACGUGCCAGCGGCCGCGGUAAUACGUAGGGUGCAAGCGUUGUCCGGAAUUAUUGGGCGUAAAGAGCUCGUAGGCGGUUUGUCGCGUCUGCUGUGAAAACCCGAGGCUCAACCUCGGACCUGCAGUGGGUACGGACAGACUAGAGUGCGGUAGGGGAGAUUGGAAUUCCUGGUGUAGCGGUGGAAUGCGCAGAUAUCAGGAGGAACACCGAUGGCGAAGGCAGAUCUCUGGGCCGUAACUGACGCUGAGGAGCGAAAGCAUGGGGAGCAAACAGGCUUAGAUACCCUGGUAGUCCAUGCCGUAAACGUUGGGAACUAGAUGUGGGGACCAUUCCACGGUCUCCGUGUCGUAGCUAACGCAUUAAGUUCCCCGCCUGGGGGAGGUACGGCCGCGACGACGUAAACGUUAAACGUAAAGUUAAGUACGGCGUUGAGACGUUGCCGAACGGACGACGACGAGGGAGGAGG
rnacentral:rRNA from 1 species